rnacentral:rRNA from 1 species
CCUACGGGUGGCAGCAGUGGGGAAUAUUGGGCAAUGGGCGCAAGCCUGACCCAGCAACGCCGCGUGAAGGAAGAAGGCUUUCGGGUUGUAAACUUCUUUUCUCAGGGACGAAGAAAGUGACGGUACCUGAGGAAUAAGCCACGGCUAACUACGUGCACGCAGCCGCGGUAAUACGGAGGUGGCAAGCGUUAUCCGGAUUUAUUGGGUGUAAAGGGGGUGUAGGCGGGAGUGCAAGUCAGAUGUGAAAUCUCAGGGCUCAACCCGGAGCCUGCAUUUGAAACUGUGUUUAUUGAGUGCUGGAGAGGCAAUCGGAAUUCCGUGUGUAGCGGUGAAAGGCGUAGAUAUACGGAGGAACACCAGUGGCGAAGGCGGAUUGCUGGACAGUAACUGACGCUGAGGCGCGAAAGCGUGGGGAGCAAACAGGAUUAGAUACCCCAGUAGUC